GGUUGUGGCUCAGAGGUAGAGUACUUGCCUAGCAUGCGUGAGGCACUGAGUUUGAUCCUCAGCACGACUA
rnacentral:tRNA from 1 species